rnacentral:rRNA from 1 species
CGGGCGCUAUACAUGCAAGUCGUGCGAGAAAGGGCUUCGGCCCCAUAAAGCGGCGCACGGGUGAGUAACACGUAGGUUAUCUCCCCUCGAGUGGUGGAUAACCCUCCGAAAGGAGGGCGUAAGACAGCAUGAGACCACGACCUUCUAGGGUGCGGUCAAAGCAGGCCUCUUCAUGAAAGCUUGCGCUCAAGGAUGAGCCUGCGGCCCAUCAGCUAGUUGGUAAGGUAACGGCUUACCAAGGCUAAGACGGGUAGCUGGUCUGAGAGGAUGAGCAGCCACACUGGAACUGAAACACGGUCCAGACUCCUACGGGAGGCAGCAGUAGGGAAUCUUGCGCAAUGGACGAAAGUCUGACGCAGCGACGCCGCGUGAGCGAUGAAGGCCUUCGGGUUGUAAAGCUCUGUGGGGAGAGACGAAUAAGGCAUGGCUAACAUCCAUGUCGAUGACGGUAUCUCCUUAGCAAGCACCGGCUAACUCUGUGCCAGCAGCCGCGGUAAGACAGAGGGU